GGAGAUGAGGCCUCCCGAAAAUGGCUUGUUUCUGCGCUUUUUGAACCCCUGCUCAUCUGUACCAACAUGCACGGUAAAAUGGCAUUCAAGAGGUAAGGGGUUCGAUCCCCCUCAUCUCCACCA
rnacentral:tRNA from 1 species